rnacentral:rRNA from 1 species
UGUAAGCGUAUACCAAAGUUGUUGCAGUUAAAACGCUCGUAGUCGGAAUUUGGCAGUUCCGGAUGUGUGCACGUCGUGUGCGCACUUCGCGGGGAUUGCUUUUGUGGUCUUGCGUAGGAUGAGGCACUUUUAUUAGUGAACGUCCUCACGCAACCACUUUUUACUGUGAGCAAAUCAGAGUGCUCAAAGCAGGCAUUUGCCGUGAAUGUAUUAGCAUGGAAUAAUAGAAUAGGACUUGGUUCUAUUUUGUUGGUUUGUUGGGACUGAGUAAUGAUUAAGAGGGACAGUUGGGGGCAUUUGUAUUUCGGUGCUAGAGGUGAAAUUCUUAGAUUACCGAAAGACAAACUGCUGCGAAAGCGUCUGCCAAGGAUGUUUUCAUUGA